UGGUAACUAAAAUUCGUAAUGCGGUGAGUAUGAACUGCAGCAAGAACACCGUGGAGGCCUUAACCACACUUGGAAGUGCGCUUAAGGCCUCCAACCUUCCUCUACGUAACAGAUCCAACCCAGAAAUGCAUCACAACACAUACAAAUGAAUAUCAAGUCUUCUACCAUACUUCAAUCAUCCAUCAUCCAUCAUACAAUAUUAUACAAUACAAUGAUCUGAGCUUAAGAAAAUAAAAACCAACCUGGACGCCCAAGCAAACAAAAAGCUUGAUGUAAAUUAUGAGAAGAAGAACCACCACCUUUCAAAGGCGCUCACCACCACCACGACAACACCAUGACAGCCACCAAACGAACAAUGAGGAAAACUCUGUGAGAAUGAAGGGCAUGCGAGACUACAAGAAGCAAAUGAGGGAUGAGGGGAGGAGGGGAGGGGGCACGCAAGAAGAGAGGAGAAAAGGGAUGAAGGGUCUGAGAAUAUGAAAUGCGACACCGAAGAGAAAUGGAUGGGUGGUGUAGGGUUUUAAUUGUUUAAUGGGUCAAUUAAAAAGAAGUAGCAGUCAAAAAGAUUCUCUGACAAGAACACAAAUGGAAAAAAAAAAUAAAAUAAGAAGGUACAAAAUGAGAUGGGUGAGAUAGAGGAAGAAACACUCUUUACAUUAAUUUAUAUUUGAUCAUAAUUUCUAACAAAGUACUAAUUUGAAAUCAAAAAAACUUCUACAUACACUUCACCAUAAGAUAGGGACGAAAGAGACUUAAAAGAAAAAUAUCAAUAAAGAAUUUAUGAUUUAAAAAGAGACUUUUUUUUUUUUUUUGUAGGAUACCAACUGUCCAACAACUCAUAAUUAUAGAAUUUUAAUGAUAAAAAUUGACAUAUAACUUAAUUUUAAAGAUACCACAAAUUUAAGUUCUGCUCUUUGAAACAAAGAACAUUUUUUACUAAAGUUACUAAAUCC
rnacentral:lncRNA from 1 species